rnacentral:rRNA from 1 species
UCCUGGCUCAGGAUGAACGCUAGCGGCAGGCUUAACACAUGCAAGUCGAGGGGCAUCGGGAGUAGCAAUACUUGCCGGCGACCGGCGCAAGGGUGCGUAACGCGUGAGCAACAUGCCCGUAUCAGGGGGAUAAUCCAUGGAAACGUGGUCUAAUACCCCAUAGUAAUUAUGUAAGGCAUCUUAUAUAAUUUAAAGCUUUGGUGGAUACGGAUUGGCUCACGUGACAUUAGCUAGAUGGUAAGGUAACGGCUUACCAUGGCUACGAUGUCUAGGGGUUCUGAGAGGAAGGUCCCCCACACUGGAACUGAGACACGGUCCAGACUCCUACGGGAGGCAGCAGUGAGGAAUAUUGGACAAUGGAUGGAAAUCUGAUCCAGCCAUGCCGCGUGCAGGAAAGACGGCCCUAUGGGUUGUAAACUGCUUUUGUAUGGGAGCAAUAAGGGCUACGUGUAGUCCGAUGAGAGUACCAUACGAAUAAGCACCGGCUAACUCCGUGCCAGCCGCUGC